rnacentral:sRNA from 2 species
CAAGCACUUCGCUAGGUGGGCGUCUGACGGAUACAGGCCACUGACCUCGAACGUCGAAGACGCCACCGGGUCAGGACAGCUCUCCGGCUUAAGGUUGAGCCAAGUGGCUUCCGCUUGAAAGGGUCGGAUACGCCGUGUGGUGCCAAAGCUCUGACGAGAGGGUGCGCG